rnacentral:rRNA from 1 species
AAUGAACGCUGGCGGUGUGCCUAAUACAUGCAAGUCGAGCGAACGGACGAGAAGCUCGCUCCCCUGAUGUUAGCGGCGGACGGGCGGGUAACACGUGGAUAACCUACCUAUAAGUCUGGGAUAACUUCGGGGAAACAGAGACGAUAACGGCUAAUAUUUUGUACCGCAUGAUUCAAAAGUGCUAGACGGCCUUGCUGUCACUUAUAGCUGGAUCCGCGCUGCAUUAGCUAGUUGGUAAGGUAACGGCUUACCAAGGCAACGAUGCAUAGCCGACCUGAGAGGAUGAUCAGCCACACUGGAACUGAGACACGGUCCAGACUCCUACGGGAGGCAGCAGUGGGGAAUCUUCCACAAUGGGCGAAAGCCUGACGGAGCAACACCGCGUGAGUGAUGAAGGUCUUCGGAUCGUAAAGCUCUGUUAUUAGGGAAGAACAUAUGUGGGAGUAACUGUGCACGUCUUGACGGUACCUAAACAGUAAGCCACGGCUAACUUCGUG